rnacentral:rRNA from 1 species
GAUGAACGCUGGCGGCGUGCCUAAUACAUGCAAGUCGAGCGAACAGACGAGUAGCUUUCUCCUCUGACGUUAGCGGCGGACGGGUGAGUAACACGCGGAUACCCUACCUAUAAGACUGGGAUAACUUCGGGAAACCGGAGCUCAUACCGGAUAAUAUAUUGAACCGCAUGGUUCAAUAGUGAAAGACGGUUUUGCUGUCACUUAUAGAUGGAUCCGCGCCGCAUUAGCUAGUUGGUAAGGUAACGGCUUACCAAGGCGACGAUGCGUAGCCGACCUGAGAGGGUGAUCAGCCACACUGGAACUGAGACACGGUCCAGACUCCUACGGGAGGCAGCAGUAGGGAAUCUUCCGCAAUGGGCGAAAGCCUGACGGAGCAACGCCGCGUGAGUGAUGAAGGUCUUCGGGUCGUAAAACUCUGUUAUUAGGGAAGAACAAAUGUGUAAGUAACUAUGCACGUCUUGACGGUACCGAAUCAGAAAGCCACGGCUAACUACGUG